AGAGUUUGAUCCUGGCUCAGGAUGAACGCUAGCGGCAGGCCUAAUACAUGCAAGUCGUACGGUAAGGUCCCUUCGGGGAAUCGAGAGUGGCGCACGGGUGCGUAACGCGUAUGCAACCAACCCCUUUCCGGGGGACAGCCGGUGGAAACGCCGGGUAAUACCCCAUGCCAAUGCAGGAAGACAUCUUCCAGCAUUGAAAGAUUUCGGUCGGAGAGGGACGGGCAUGCGUCCCAUUAGCUGGUUGGCGGGGCAACGGCCCACCAAGGCGAUGAUGGGUAGGGGAUCUGAGAGGACGGUCCCCCACACUGGUACUGAGACACGGACCAGACUCCUACGGGAGGCAGCAGUAAGGAAUAUUGGGCAAUGGGGGAAACCCUGACCCAGCCCAUGCCGCGUGAGGGAAUAAGGCCCUACGGGUCGUAAACCUCUUUUGUUUGGGGACAAGGACGGUGUCGAGAACGCCGUUUGCGGGUACCAGACGAAUAAGCAUCGGCUAACUCCGUGCCAGCCGCCGC
rnacentral:rRNA from 1 species